GACGAACGCUGGCGGCGUGCUUAACACAUGCAAGUCGAGCGGAAAGGGCCGGUUUUUGUGGGGUGCUCGAGUGGCGAACGGGGGAGAGACACGUGAGUAACCUGCCCCUGACAGUGGGGGAACAUCAGGAGACUCGGGCUAAUACCGGGCAUAAGAUCCUUCAGCAUGGUGGUGGAUUGAGAGAUACGGCGGUUCGGGAUGGACUGGCGGCUUAUCAGCUUGUUGGCGGGGUGGUGGCUUACACGGGCGUGGAGGGGUAGCCGGCCUGAGAGGGUGACCGGCCACAUUGGGCCUGAGAUACGGCCCAGACGCCUACGGGAGGCAGCAGUGGGGAAUAUUGCACAAUGGGCGGAAGCCUGAUGCAGCAACGCCGCGUGCGGGAUGACGGCCUUCGGGUUGUAAACCGCUUGCGCCUGUGACGAAGCGUGAGUGACGGUAACCGCUAAAGAAGCAACGGCUAACUACGUG
rnacentral:rRNA from 1 species